rnacentral:rRNA from 1 species
GACGAACGCUGGCGGCGUGCUUAACACAUGCAAGUCGAACGGUGACCCAGGGCUUGCCCUGGUGAUCAGUGGCGAACGGGUGAGUAACACGUGGGCAACCUGCCCCUGACUUCGGGAUAACUCCUCGAAAGAGGAGCUAAUACCGGAUACGACCACUUCGGACAUCCGAUGGUGGUGGAAAGUUUUUUCGGUCAGGGAUGGGCCCGCGGCCUAUCAGCUAGUUGGUGGGUAAUGGCCUACAAGGCGACGACGGGUAGCCGGCCUGAGAGGGCGACCGGCCACACUGGGACUGAGACACGGCCCAGACUCCUACGGGAGGCAGCAGUGGGGAAUAUUGCGCAAUGGGCGAAAGCCUGACGCAGCGA